rnacentral:rRNA from 1 species
GAUGAACGCUAGCGGCAGGCUUAAUACAUGCAAGUCGAGGGGUAGAGGAAGCUUGCUUCCUUGAGACCGGCGCACGGGUGCGUAACGCGUAUGCAAUCUACCUUUUACAGAGGGAUAGCCCAGAGAAAUUUGGAUUAAUACCUCAUAGUUUUUUCGAAUGGCAUCAUUUGAUCAUUAAAGUACCAACGGUAAAAGAUGAGCAUGCGUCCUAUUAGCUAGAUGGUAAGGUAACGGCUUACCAUGGCAACGAUAGGUAGGGGUCCUGAGAGGGAGAUCCCCCACACUGGUACUGAGACACGGACCAGACUCCUACGGGAGGCAGCAGUGAGGAAUAUUGGACAAUGGGCGCAAGCCUGAUCCAGCCAUGCCGCGUGCAGGAAGACGCAUCUAUGGUGUGUAAACUGCUUUUGUACGGGAAGAAACACUCCCUCGUGAGGGAGCUUGACGGUACCGUAAGAAUAAGGAUUGGCUAACUCCGUGCCAGCCGCCGCCGUAAUAC